GGUCGACCUUUGGCCGUUAGGAGUGGUGGGGCCAACAAAUUUGACGGUAAGAUCUCUGCCUUUCCAGGGCGGGAAGGCGGCGGAAGCAUCGACUUAGAGGUGGUUUUGGCGCCUGAAACAAUGGCUGGGAUCGCGUCUGAUUACGAAUUCAUGCAAUAUGUAUCUAACUGAUCUGCAGUUGAAUUAUCGGUGAUGAUAAUGAUCUUGUAUCGUUCAUGAUUUUCUUGUUGGGGUAUCAAGGUUGGUGAUUAAUUUGGAGCGAUGAUCGAGGAUAAGAAGAGGGAUGUUUUC
rnacentral:misc_RNA from 1 species